rnacentral:lncRNA from 10 species
UGAGUCCGGGAAAGGAUGGGGUAGUUUGUAGGGCAAAGGUCCUUCUGCCUCUGACCUGGUUCCUGGAUAGCUUUGCCAAGAGGGGCCAGGUCAGGUCUCUCACGGGAGGGAUCAGCAGCCCCUCACUCUUCAAUGAUCACAUUCAAAAUCUACGUGGGGGGUUGUGUUGAGAUCUCAAAGGGGAGAAGGAGGAAGCCUCCAUGCACUCCAGGGGGAACGGAGACCCUCAACCUUGUUCCAUCUCCCCUUCCUUCCUGCCCCAAACCCAAGCAGCUGCAACAUUCCACUCCACGCCCAGCAGGCACGGGGUCCGGCUAGGAUUCUGUUUCUUGGGAGAGACGGGCCACGGGACUGCGUCCUGGUUUUCAGGGGCCUGGGGCGCCUGACUCUACCACCCGCGCUGUGGAGGCCGAGAUGAACCCAAACCCAGGCUUUGGAGUCAGCAGAGCCAGCUGGGGCAUCAGCCUCCCACUGGCGUCUGUGUGACUUUGGGCAAUUCUCUUGACCUCUCUGAGCUUCGGUUUUCGGUCUCUCUGAAAUGGGAGGAACCAACUAGACCAGCGUCUCAAUCCCUGGACUCAAGCCUUGGACAUCUCAAGUGGAAUGUCAGCGUGGUACAGGCAGUGGUUGCUGUCCAUUUCUUCUCUGCUGUGUCCCCAGUGCCCAGAACAGUACCUGGGACAUAGCUGGCAUUCAGUAAAUAUUUAUAAAAUGGAUGGAUGGAACUGGGCACGGUAGCUCGCAUCUGUAAUCCCAGCACUUCGGGAGGCCAAGGCAGGCGGAUCACUUGAGGUCCGGAGUUCGAGAGCAGCCUGAUGAACAUGGUGAAACCCCAUCUCUAAUGAAAAUACAAAAAUUAACCAGGUGUGGUGGUGCACGCCUGUAAUCCCAGCUACUCAGGAGGCUGAGGCAGGAGAAUCACUUGAACCCAGGAGGCAGAAUUUGCAGUGAGCCGAGAUUAUGCCAUUGCACUCCAGCCUGGGUGACAGAGCAAGACUCUGUCUCAAAACAAAAAAAGAGUGGAUGGAUGGAUGGAUGAACUCACCUGCUGGUUGUCUCUGCUGAGCUAACUUCACACAUAUGCCAGCCUCGUUUCUAGAACAUUCCAUAGGCUAUGAGGUACCUGUUGGAAAUAAAUGCAGAUGUAGGUGGUCACCCUCACAGCACAUUGGGGCCACAGCUUGGAAGUCCCCUGGCCACUGUGUCACCUCGGACCUAGGAUGCCUUUCCAUUGAGACAUUCAGAUGGCCUUAGUGCCACAGAGGGACGAGGUCCGUGGACAUUCUGGUCUCCAGCUUUCCAGGAAACGGGAGGCUCCUGGCAGCGCCCUGGCUGCCAAGACAAGGCUCCUCCAAGCCUGGCUGACUCAGCAUAUUCUCCAGGCUUCUGCUGAGACACCCCUUCCCGGUGAUGGCCCCUCUGGAGUCCCUGUCAUGGGAACUUGUGUGUGGGAUGCUUCCUUCUCUUUCACGGCAUUGUCUGUGCGGGUUCUGCCUGAGCACAUGAAGUGCGUUCACUGUGCCCAGCAUGGUGCCUGGUACACACAGGGCUCAACGCGCUCCAUUUGAAGGCUGUCUGGAGCCCCCUACACUGGGCCCAGGUGGAUCUUAUCAAUUCACUCAACAAAUAUUUGCUGAACUCCCAUCUGGGCUGGCUCUGCCUGUGAGGCUAGGAACGUCAAAAGGAACCCAGGCAGCCAACCCUCCAGGACCUUGGGGUGGUGUGAAGGCCCCAGAUUUCUGAAAGUGGAACAAAGCCAGACCCUGUGGCCGCCACCUUCUGGCCAACCUCAGAUGGAGCCUUCCAGACACAUCAACUCCCAGGGCUGUGGAAAGAAAAGAUGGAGUCUCUACCUGGCCGGUGCCAUGACACCUGCACACGUGGCAACAAAGAAAAGGGAAGAGAAAGACUCCAUGUUGACUCUACCUGGCUCCCAGGUAUCCCUUCUCUAUCGGCACGGCUGCCGACUUCGCCUGUGCAAGUUUCCAGCUUGCUUACCUAUGCUUGCAGCUUGAUUUUUCAGGCCGCUUUUUGUUAGAAAAGAAAUUAGUUGGGGGCUGCUUUAUUAUUAAAAUAAAAACCUUACUUUCUGUACUCUCACUAACUGCCUAAAUAAUUUCUUUUUAACUCCUAUAUCAGCGGGAGGAUUGCUUGAGCCCAGGGGUUGGAGACCACCCUCGGCAACACAGGGAGACUCCGUCUCUACAAAACAUUAAAAAAUUGCCAGGCGCAGUGGCUCAUGCCUGUAAUCCCAGCACUUUGGGAGGCCGAGGCGGGUGGAUCACGAGGUGACGAGAUGGAGAUCAUCCUGGCCAAUAUAGUGAAACUUCAUCUCUACUAAAAAUACAAAAAUUAGCCGGGCAUGGUGGUAGGCACCUGUAGUCCCACCUACUCGGGAGGCUGAGGCAGGAGAAUGGCGUGAACCCGGGAGGCAGAGCUUGCAGUGAGCCAAGAUCGUGCCACUGCACUCCAGCCUGGGCGACAGAGCCGAGACUCCGUCUCAAAAAAAAAUAAAAAAUAAAUAAAGUUAGCCAGGCAUGGUGGCGCAUACCUAUAGUCUAAGCUACUUGAGAGGCUGAGGUGGGAGGAUCACUUGAAACUGGGAGGUCGAGGCUGCAGUGAGCCAUGAUCACACCACUGCACUCCAGCCUGGGCAACAGAGUGAGACCCUGUUUCAAAAAACAAAAUGGGCCAGGCACAGUGGCUCACGCCUGUAAUAGCAGCACUUUGGGAGGCUGAGGUGGGUGGAUCACCUGAGGUCAGGAGUUCCAGACCAGCCUGGCCAACAUGGUGAAACCCCAUCUCUACUAAAAAUACAAAAAUUAUGGCAGGGUGCAGUGGCUCACACCUGUAAUCCCAGCACUUUGGGAGGCCGAGGCGGGCGGAUCACCUGAGGUCGGGAGUUCAAGACCAGCCUGACCAACAUGGAGAUACCCCGUCUCUACUAAAAAUACAAAAUUAGCGAGGUGUGGUGGCUCAUGCCUGUAAUCCCAGCUACUCCGGAGGGUAAGGCAGAAAAAUUGCUUGAACCCGGGAGGUGGAGGUUGCGGAGAGCCAAGAUCAUGCCAUUGCACUCCACCCUAGGCAACAAGAGUGAAACUCCGUCUCAAAAAAAAAAAAAAAAAAAAAAAAAUUAGCUAGGCAUGGUGGCCUGCCCCUGCAAUCCCAGCUGCUUGAGAAGCUGAGGCAGGAGAAUCGCUUGAAUCCAGAGGCGGAGGUUGUGGUGAGCCGAGAUUGCAUCAUGGCACUCCAGCCUGGGCAACAAGAGUGAAACUCCAUCUCAAAAACAAAAAGAAAACCCACAUAUACACCUUGAUUUAAUACUUCCCAAGAGCUAUUCGUUUGGCCCUAUGUCUGUGACAGCUGGAAAGAAUGCUUUAUAAAAGAAAGAAGAGGCUGGGCGUGGUGGCUCAUGCCUGUAAUCCCAGCACUUUGGGAGGCCAAGGCGGGUAGAUCACGAGGUCAGGAGUUCAAGACCAGCCUGGCCAAGAUAGUGAAACCUUGUCUCUACUAAAAAUACAAAAAUUAGCUGGGCGCAGUGGCGGGUGCCUGUAAUCUCAGCUACUCGGGAGGCUGAAGCAGGAGAAUCGCUUGAACCCAGGAGGCAGAGGUUGCAGUGAGCCAAGAUUGCACCACUGCACUCCAACUGCAGCGACAGAGCAAGGCUCCGUCCCAAAAAAAAAAAAAAAAAAAGAGAGAAAAGAAAGAAGAGCGGCCAGGCACGGUGUCUCACACCUGUAAUCUCAGCACUUUGGGAGGCUGAGGCGGGUGGAUCACCUGAGGUCAGGAGUUCAAGACCAGCCUGACCAACAUGGCAAAACCCUGUCUCUACUAAAAAUACAAAAUUAGCCGGGUGUGGUAGUGCAUGCCUGUAAUCCCAGCUACUCGGGAGGCUGAGGCAGGAGAAUCCCUUGAACCCGUGAGGCAGAGUUUGUGGUGAGCCAAGAUCGUGCCAUUGCACUCCAGCCUGGGCAACAAAAGUGAAACUCUGUCUCAAAAAAAAAAAAAAAACGAAAAGAAAAGUAAGAAGAGCAUCCUGGCCAGGCGCGGUGGCUCACGCCUGUAAUCCUAGCACUUUGGGAUGCCAAGGAGGGUGGAUCACAUGAGAUCAAGAGUUUGGGACCAGCCUGGCUAACAUGGUGAAACCCCAUCUCUACUAAAAAUACAGAAAUUAGCCAGGUGUGGUAGCGGGCGUCUGUAAUCCCAGCUACUUCGGAGGCUGAGGCAUGAGAAUCGCUUGAACCUGGGAGGCAGAGGCUGCAGUGAGCCGAGACAGCGCCAUUGCACUCCAGCCUGGUGACAAGAGCAAAACUCCAUCUCAAAAAAAAAAAAGCUUUAGAGCAGGAAUGAAAGGAAGUAAAGUACACUUGGAAAAGGGCCAAGCGGGUGACUUGAGAGAUCAAGUAAGCAGUUUGGCCUUUUGACUUGGGGUUUUAUAUGUUGGCAUGCUUCCGGGGUCUUGUGUCCCUUCUCCCCUCAUUCUUCCCUUGGGGUGGGCUGUCCGCAUGCGCAGUGGCUGCCAGCACUUGGGAGGUGAGCAUGCACAGUGUGUUUCCUGGAGCUGUGCACGUGUUCACUUGAGGCAUUCUUCCCUUAACAGUCAAAUGCCCCUAGAAGUUCAUAUACCAGUUAAGCCCUACCAUUUUGCCUCUUAAUGCACAUGCUCGAGCCUACUUGUCCAGCUCCUGAGAUCUUAUCAGGAAGCUGCUGAUCCCCAGUUUCAGGUGUUCCUGUUUAUUAGGAGACUGCUUUCUCUGCUGCCUGGUGCUGAGUCACAGUGUCUGGCACCCACAUUAUUUUUUGAACAAUUAUUAUGUUAGAGAGACAGUUAACAACCGCUUAACCAUUACAUGAUGGUGGCGGACAUUCCUGGUUGGGGGGGCCCUCUCCUGCUGUGCUCAUGCCUGACUAGCUACCUACUGUAACAAGACCCCGUCCCUAAAAAAUUGAAAAGAAAAAUAAAUUUAAAAACUAGGCCAGGCAUGGUGGCUCAUGCCUGUAAUCCCAGCACCUUGGGAGGCUGAGGUGGGAGAAUUGCUUGAGCCCAAGAGUUUGAGACCAGCCUGGGCGACAUGGCAAAGCCCCAUCUCUACAAAAAAUACAAAAAUUGGGCUGGGCACGGUGGCCCACGCCUGUAAUCCCAGCACUUUGGGAUGCCGAGGUGGGUGGAUCACUUUAGGUCAGGAGUUCAAGACCAGCCUGGCCAACACGGCGAAACCUCGUCUCUACUAAAAAUAAAAAAAUUAGCCGGGUGUGGUGGUGG